CAAAAACAUAGCUAGAUGUUAUUAUAUUUGGUGCCUUCUGCUCAAUGAUACAAUUUAAUAGCCGCAGUACCCUGACUGUGCAAAGGUAGCAUAAUCAAUUGGCUUAUAAUUGAAGUCUAGAAUGAAAGGAUAUACGGGUAAUUACUGUAUCGGAUACUUAUAUUGAAAUUGGUUUUCAAGUGCAAAUACUUGUGAAUAACUGUUAGACGAGAAGACCCUAGAAAUUUGUAUAAAUGUUUAGUUGGGGCAACGUAGUAAGAAAUAACUUACAAUAAAAGACACGAAAACAAUUUGRAARAAAAAAAUUACUCUAGGGAUAACAGCAUAAUUUAUAAAAGUUUGUGACCUCRAUGUUGGAUUUGGGAAUUAUAGUCCARAARAUUUUUAAUGUUGCUCUGUUCRAGCAUAAUAC
rnacentral:rRNA from 1 species